UUCUUCUUCCCAGAGUCCUUCUCUACUCCUAGUCCCACCUAUCUCACUUCCCUGUUGGCCAACAGUGCUUUAUUCAACAACCAAUAAGAGACAGAUUUAUAGAAUGGCAUCUCCCAUCGCAGAGAUCAUGCAGUACCUGGGAAUUAGGUUCCUACUCAUAAUUGCCAUGUCACUACACGAUCUAAAUCCAAGUGACAUAUCAUCAAAGUCCUACAGAAAUGUCCACAACCAGGGGCAUCAUCGGCUCUACGCUGUUGCCAUCAGAGGACAUUCAGCUUGCAAGUCCUCAAUUCUCACUGCAUUGAUUUGCAUCCUACCCAAAACAGACAAGUAAGCUCUUGCCAUUCCUCAUUGCAUUGUUUGCAACUCUCCUCAUUAAUCUUUUGUCCUCACUACAUCCUGUUGAGAUAUAUGAGCGUCUGCUGUCUCAGGUACAAUGGACUGAGAAAGGGAAGCAGUAGGCAGCAGAAAAAUAACUUGAAACCAGGACUGCGUGACACAAAACUCCAUGAAGUCACUUCUUGCGAAUAACAGGCUGUGGAUUCCAGCUUAAUGUCCCUUGAAGGAACUUGAACUUUUACUUUUGGAUAAAGUUGAAGGUGGAAAGUGUUAUUCUCAGAGAAAGGAAUUAGGUAUCAAGAUGCAGGUGGAGAUGGGGACAAAUGAAACAUACACAUUUCUCCUGAAAUUGCAGACUGUGGAAACCCAGAUGUGUGAAUUUUCCAAACUGGUAUAUAGCCCUUCCUCAAUUACUGAAGCUCUAAUGAGCCUUGUAUCAGAACUCCUUCGCUGUGUGAAGGAAGAUGAGACUUAUCCACCUGUCUUUGACCUUGAACUGUCCUCCCUAGGGGGGUAGUCCCUUUUCUGGGAGCAAAGAAUCACUAACUCACCUUGUAACAAGCUGAGGUAAAGAGAAGCUCAAUAUUCUAUAGCCUGGUGAGUUCAAAGCUCCUACAAUGAAGUCAUCAAUUAAUGGCCACAUCUCAUUUUCUUCCAUGGAGUUCUCAUUUAUCUCCAGGUUCUGAGAGAAUUCUGGAAAAAAAUCAUCAAUUGGAGCCCGUACCACUAGGUAUGAGCUCCCAUCCUCCUUGUUUCAGAGAAGUCAGAUUCCCUGCCCUGUUUCUUUCAGACUACAGAACAAUUCAAUGAGGGAGAAUUGCCACCAUCCACAUUGUUAAGAAGAGGCAUCUGAGAUUCCUAAGGUUAGGAAAUGUGCCCACAUGUCAGAAUCCAUGCAUUGUUUCCAGGUUCACUCCGUACGAAUAUUGAUCAGUUAUCAAGAAAAGAAAUUUAUCAAUUGGCCUAAAAACUGCAUGCAAUUGUGUAUACCACUUUUCUUAUGUGGCUUGAGGAUCUGUUGUUUGAAAUGAGAUUAUAGUGUGAGUCUGAUAAAGGUAGUCAAGCAAUUGAGAGAAUAAACUAAGAACUAGAAAACUCUAGAACCAUGAAAAAACAUAUAGGGUAAAUAUUGAUCCAAUUAGUGAAAGUGGGAAUUAGGGGUCCCAAAAUGACAGCUUGUAAUCUGGCCCAGAAAACAAUAAUUGACAUCGGAGUAUGAGUAUAGAGCGUCCCAACAAAAGAUCUCUGGGAGUAACUGGGAAGUAUAGAAAAUAAAUGCCAUGUGCCAGACAGCAUGUGUCAAGUACAAAUGAUAUUUAUGUAGAAAAUAUCUCUACUGUGAUACAAAGACACUCAAAGAUUAAAAUAGAAUGAAGUAACAACAAUAGCAACAACAAAAGCCCUUCUUUUUAAAGUAAUCCAUGACUUAAACUGACUCUUUAAAAUAAUGAUUGUAAAACAGUUUUGCCUUCUAAUUUAUUUACAGUCUAUAAAUUGUUUCAUUUCUAUGGGUCUAAGUAUUUUAGAUUAGAAUCAUGCUAUCAUAAAUGUUUUGUUCCAUUUGUACAGUGAUGUUUCAGUCCAUCAUUGAUUGUUAGCUGCUUAAUCAUACUGCUAUGAAGACAAGCCUUUGUUUCUGUGGACUGCUUUCCUGUAUCGAGUAUCAUUAAGUUGUCAAAAAGAUUCACAUCUUCCAUUAAGGCUGUUUGUAAUAUAUACACUGAUACACAUAUACAUACAUACUUAUAUAUACACAGACAAAUAUACAUACAUACAUAAAUGCUUAUAAAUAUGUAAAUGAACUUGAAUAGCUUUUUUACAGAAAAGAAUUCAAGUAUAAUAAUAUAUUAUCUGUGUUUCCCAUUCAGUGUAGAGACAGGGGAAAUGGCUCAACAAUUAGCAGUAGUUGCUGCAAUUGCAGUGGACUAGAGGUCAGUACCCAGCAUCCUCUUGGACAGUUCAUAAUCAUCUCUAACCCAGGGUACCCCACUCUUUCCUCUGGCUUCUGGGGUAGCCCAUAUAGAUGUGCACACAAAGAUACAUACACAUGAAACAAAAUAAAAUCUUAAAACAGUUUUAAUAAAACAGAUGUAAUUUUAAUACCUCAUAUUGUCUCUGUGCCAACAGGGUCUAUCUAUUAUAUUGAUGCAGACAAAGCCACCUUAGCUAGCAUUGGUUACAUAGCUCCAUCUUACCAAACCUUGAACCUGGUACCCCUUUCUCUCUGCACUGGUUCCCCUCAUGUGAAAUGAGAAGAUGGCUUCUUUCUUUGUCUUGAAAUGUUGCCUAAACAUUGACAAGAUUUGGAGGUAGCUUUUCUUUUCCUAUAGGAACUCCUUGUCAGUUAUCCCAGUUCUUCUGUAGCAGAGAACAGAGGUAAAGUGAACAGAAUGAUAUUAGUUUAUGAAUAUCUAAGCCAGGUGGACUGAUGACUUUUAUAUCCAGCAAGUCAACACAUACCAAUAAGAAAAGUCAAACUAUAGAAAAUAUGCUAACAAUGUUGACAUAACACAUUAGUGGAACUAUGUAAACCAGCAGUAAAUAUAUGAAAAAUGAGGGGGAUGGUUAGGGUUAGAGAAAUACAAAGUGAAAUGAGUAAAAUCUUCUCAUCUCUGAUAACAGCAAACCAGUUAAAGGUGUUUAGGUUAGAGCAGGAGAGCAGUGUGGGAGACAGGCUCCCUCAGACUUCUAGAGAAAGUGCAUAGGGAAUACCAGUCAACAGCUAAAAUAAUUUAAAAUGCAAACUUUAAAAUUCUGAAAUCUCAUUUUGAAGAACUUAUCCUAUGAUAUAUUGCUCAGACUCUACAAAGAUAGAAUGUCAAUGUACUGUUUACUUCUAAAAGUAAAAGUGAGGAACAGGAAUUGAACAACUGCACACUUCUCAGUAAGCCACCCAUAAAGGACAACAGUGCCCUCUCCAAGCAGCCUCUGCUAUUUCAGGUAUAGUGUUUAUUAUGGUUGAUACUGGAAGGAGCUAGCUGGUAGCAACUUUACUGACUCACUUCCAGAGACAGAGUUCAGAAUGUCCAAAUUAUUAUGGUUAGUAACAAUGUUACCCAAAGGUAAUGCUGAGGUCCCAGUGAGCACGGAAAACAAGACAAUAAGUCUCUCAAGUUGGAACAUAAUUGGUGUUGACUCCCAGAUGUUCCUAGGAGUAAGAAGAGGAAACAGGAACCCACAGUGAAUGCCUGUAAUUCUCACUCUUGACCUUCCUAAAAGACAGAUUCGCUUCUGUUCACAACAGGUCAUUUGUACUAGCUGCCAUCUCUGCUUGAAACUUUUCUCUGUGCUUUUCCACCGAAAUUCGUUGUCUUGCUUCAGUGACUUGUCAGCCCUUCCAUGAGCCAUCUAUAGCCCACCUCAAAGACCAGGGUAAGUCUGCUACUACAUGGCUCCACCAAGUUUUGGGGUAACACAUUCCCUAGUGAAGCAACUACUGAGCUUACUGUCACUAUUGAGCUUACACUCCAGGAAGAAGCCCUUCUCCAUACACUGAGCCAAGUCAUUUGAAGAAUAAAAUCUUAGCAGUCAACAAAAUCCACGUAAGCUCAUCUUAACAUGACACAGUGUCAUCUAUGUCUUCAAAAUUGCUAAAGAGCUCUAACCCAAACAAUGCCUUCCCUCUGCUUCUUGCCCCAAAUCCUCCUGAAGAUAAUUUUAUUGGGGUUACAUAGUGGUGGGGAGCUACUUACUUGUUUGAAGAAGGGUGCACUUGAAAUCCUUGUUUUCCUCAUGGUCUCUUGGAUGAUGGGAUAGCAGUCCCCCAUAUAUAGUCGCAGGAUGAAAAGCAAGUCCUCAUUUCAGUAUGAUCUAAUGAGACUCCAAAGAAAAUACCUAGUGUCAGCCAAGAUACUGCAACCCAAAAGCUGCUGAGUGGCAGUGAUGGAUGGUGAUGGCCUUGUGUCAGCACUAAGACCCAGAAUUGUGGAACUUGAGGCUGCCACGAAGUGAUGGCUUCAUUGUGAGCUGGGAAGAACACACAGCAUGGGUGAAUGGGAGAAUGUUCUAGUGGGAAAGGUCAUAGCGUUUGCCUAGGCUAGUGCAUUUCAUCAUUUACACAGCUGCUUGCAAUCAUGCAGUAAGUAGGGUGGCUUUCAUGUUGCUCUGCCAUUCCUUCCAAGCCUCCCUCUCUGCAACUGAAUGUCUUCGUGGUCUUUCCUGGAUAGAGUCAGCCUCUGUGAUAGUGUGUUGUGAGAGGUCAAUAAAUUUCUUCCUAUCCUACUGA